UACGUAGGGGGCAAGCGUUGUCCGGAUUUAUUGGGCGUAAAGAGCGUGUAGGCGGCCAGACAGGUCCGUUGUGAAAACUCGAGGCUCAACCUCGAGACGCCGAUGGAAACCGUCUGGCUAGAGUCCGGAAGAGGAGAGUGGAAUUCCUGGUGUAGCGGUGGAAUGCGCAGAUAUCAGGAAGAACACCCGUGGCGAAGGCGGCUCUCUGGGACGGUACUGACGCUGAGACGCGAAAGCGUGGGGAGCGAACAGG
rnacentral:rRNA from 1 species